GUCAGCGGCCACUGUGCAGAUUGUGAAGUUAUAUCAUGAAGUCAUAUCGAGACGUCACAGCCCACAGCGCAGAUUGUGAAGUUAUAUCAUGAAGUCAUAUCGAGACGUCAGAGGCCAUAGUGCAGAUUGUGAAGUUAUAUCAUGAAGUCAUAUCGAGACGUCCGCAGCCACAGUGCAGAUUGUGAAGUUAUAUCAUGAAGUCAUAUCGAGACAUCUGCGGCCACAG